UUCAAAACACAAUCAGUCCAAAAUUACACUUACAAAGAGUUAAUUAAAAUCAGUACCUACAAGUUCCAGAUCUGCCAUCUCAAAGAUUCAUAUUCCUCACUUCGAGUUGUAAAAGUAACUUUUGGGUUGGGGAUAAUACAUUCAGCUCAUGGUCACCUGAAUCAAAGAAAUAUAUAAGUAUGCAUAUUAUUUAUGGUCAAAGUGAGUUGCUUAUUUUAAUCACAUACCUAGUAAAUAUUUGUUUAAGUUAGCAUAGACAGUACAACGAUAUUGCAUUUUCCAUGAUGAAACUUGUACUAACAUGAUUAAACAUUAGCACCUUAAGAACUUCACAUCUGAAUACAUUUUUUUUGUAUUUCACUUUUGGUUUCAUCUCUACCUGGAUCCAAUUACUAAAUCCUCUUCUUUCAAUGCUGCCACACCAUAAAAGAAAAGUAAAAAAUGAAUAAAUACUUAUUGGGGGAGGGGUGGAAUCAAGACAACUCCUAAUAAAUCAAUAAAAAAAAACUUACGCUUUUCCAAAAAUUGAAGAUCCAAAAUCCUAAAAUUCUAAGCAACAUGGCUCCGUAAAUAUAAUAAUAGAUAUGAAAUUUUUCCAUACAAAUACAGAAUACGAAC
rnacentral:lncRNA from 1 species